UGGCCACCAAGCCCCAGCGGGCCACCAAGCCCCGCCUGGCAUCUGGGUGGCUCUGAAGGUCCCAACUCCAGUCUUCACACAGGCAUGAUUCCACGCUGCAACCGGCCUUAAAUAAGCUUGGGCGAGGGAGACGGCUCAGCAGGAUUAUCAGGUGCAAUGAAGAGCAUCAGAGAUUCCUUUUUUACAGAUGAAGAAACUAAGCACAGACGGAGUAAGUAAGUGGACCGCCAUCUCAUGGCAAAUGGUCUCCUGAGCCAUUUUCCAGCCUGUGUGAACAUUUGUAACCAAGGAGGGUGGAGAGGUAGAAGGAAGGGAGAGGAGGAGGAAGAGAAGAGGGUUGUUAGAUCCGGAAGCCAGGUGCACAGUUGCUUGUGAGUGACUUGCCUUGUAUUAGUGUCCCACGAAAUGCCCUGUGAGUAUACAUCUGGGGGCAGGUUGUGGAAGAUGAUUUUACCAUGGUCUCCUGGGCCUCUGACUGACUCAUUUCAGGAAUAUCUCAGCUGGAAAGAAUACCACAAAACUUCACAAAAUAGACAUUCUCUGAAUUCUAGUGUGUAUGUCUCUUCCUGAUUCAGAUCUUAGUCCUAAUUUAGUCUUUAUUUGGUAGAAAUGGAAUUUUAGUGAGAUUUGUUUAAGUAAGUCACAUGCUUCAAUGGCAGACUAUUUACAGCAAAUAAAUAAGUAAAAUGAGUUUAAAAUAAUGUUAGCAAACCAGCAGUGGUUGGCUCAACGCCAUCUCCUCUCAGGGACAUGAAGAGUGGCUGAGCACUGUGUGUGGAGAACAGAUUGCUGCCCAUGAGGUCUAUUAGAAAUUAACAGCUAGGCAGAUGCUCCUGACGGUUCUGUUAUCAUUGAAGAUUCAACA